CCAGAGAAUUUAGCAGAGAUGCUUUAGUGCCUUCGGGAACUCUGAGACAGGUGCUGCAUGGCUGUCGUCAGCUCGUGUUGUGAAAUGUUGGGUUAAGUCCCGCAACGAGCGCAACCCUUAUCCUUUGUUGCCAGCACGUAAUGGUGGGAACUCAAAGGAGACUGCCGGUGAUAAACCGGAGGAAGGUGGGGAUGACGUCAAGUCAUCAUGGCCCUUACGAGUAGGGCUACACACGUGCUACAAUGGCGCAUACAAAGAGAAGCGACCUCGCGAGAGCAAGCGGACCUCAUAAAGUGCGUCGUAGUCCGGAUUGGAGUCUGCAACUCGACUCCAUGAAGUCGGAAUCGCUAGUAAUCGUAAAUCAGAAUGUUACGGUGAAUACGUUCCCGGGCCUUGUACACACCGCCCGUCACACCAUGGGAGUGGGUUGCAGAAGAAGUAGAUAGCUUAACCUUCGGGAGGGCGUUUACCACUUUGUGAUUCAUGACUGGGGUGAAGUCGUAACAAGGUAAGCGUAGUGCU
rnacentral:rRNA from 1 species